GCCAGAGUUUAUUUUGUGGACUAUGGGAACUCUUGUGAGGUGGAGGCAGCACAUCUAAAGGCCAUCACCCCAAGCCUGCUCAAACUGCCUUUCCAAGCAAUUCGCUGCUGGCUUGCAGGAGUGGAAGCAGUGGAGGGUCAGUGGAAUAAAGAGGCAAUACAUAAGUUUCAGGCUCUUUGUGCCGGUCAGCCGUUGAGUGGCAGAGUGCUGUCCAUCACUGAGAAGGGUUAUGGGGUGGAGCUGGAAAGCGCCGGACAAAGCAUUGCUGCUGUGCUAAUCUCGGAGCACCUGGCUAAACCUUAUAGACAGGUGAAACAGCCUCCUGUGCAGCCAGCUAAACCCACCAGUCAGAUUGAGGAUCUGCCCACCCUUAAACCCAUUGAUCAGAGUCCACCUGCUGAAGAGCCUUUGAAAGUGAACAACAAGGGAGCUGCCAAUGACACAGAAGGUUCAACCUCAUCAAUCGGCACUUUUUCUUUGAACUGGAAAACAUUGGAGCUGUCUUGCACUGAUGCUUUCCAACCAAGGGUG